AUUAUUUCAGUGUGAGGAAAAAGGGUGAGACUAAGCUGUGUUUGCUUCUAGAUUUUUCUUCCAAGAUUGCUGAGAACCGCAAGAGAACCAGAAAAUCAGAUUUUGACAUUACAUGGAUGUGAAACCAAAGAACAACACUAGAAGAAUAGCAAUGUUGAAAAGAUGGACUUUUGCUUCAGGAAGAGUCUUAAGGUGAUUAAAAGACAUUAAAAGCAUAAUUUCCCAAAGACAAUCCAACCUACUCUCUGUCUCCUAUUUACCUCUGGGUGCAUUUUUAUUGUCCAUCUAUAACAACUGUCUAAGGUAUAUUUACUAGUGGAUCAGUCCUCUAAGUUGAAUAUUGACUUGAUGUUACUAAUUAAUAAAAUUAUUUUGGUUCUUACAUCUUUUAAGGGUUAGUAUGAUUUCAUCAUAUUCAUGGGGGACUCUUUAUUGGAUGAUAAUAGUUAUAGUGGACAGCCAGGUGGAACAGAGUACCAGGCCUGGAGUCAGAAAGACUCAUCUUCUUUUUUUCUCAAUAAUAUUUUAUUUUUUCCAAUUACAUGUAAAGAUAGUUUUCAACAUUCAUUUUUGUAAUACUUUGUGUUACAAUUUUUUCUCCUUCUCUCCUUUGCUUUCCCCCUCCCCAAGAACAAGCAAUCUGAUUAGGUUAAAUAUGUUCAAUCCUUUUAAACAUAUUUCCAUAUUUGUCAUAUCAUGCAAGAAAAAUCAGACCAGAAAGAAAAAAAAAACAAGCAAAAAAUAAAGGUGAAAAUACUUGCUUUGAUUCAUAUUCGAUCUCCAUAGUUCUCUCUCUGGAUCUGGAUGUCACUUUCCAUCACAAGUCUAUUGCAAUUGUUUUGAGUCACUGAAUUUCUGAGAGGAGCCAAGUCUAUCAUAGUUAAUAAUCGCAAUCUUGCUGUUAUUGUGUACUAUGUUUUCCUGAUUCUACUUACUUCGCUCAGCAUCAGUUAAUGUAGGUCUUUCUAGGCUUUUCUGAAAUCAGACUGCUCCAUUACCAUUAUAUCCCAUAACUUAUUCAGCCAUUCUCCAACUGAUGAACAUCUGCUUAUUUCCAGUUCCUU
rnacentral:lncRNA from 1 species